ensembl:lncRNA
CGGCUGGAAAGGUGGGGGUAGGUGGAGCUGGGGAGGGGGCGUGGACCCCUCUACUUAGACCCCAGGCCGAGUAUCUCCGCGUUUUUCCGCAUCAGUUCAUUAGGGACCCCAGCGAGUCCAACCUCCGGUCUCUUUACAGACGGGGAGACUGAGGCCCCGGGAGGGGGCAGGGACCCCGCCGGGGCGCGUGGGCAGAUGCAGUUUACAGAUCCAAACUGAAGACGAGAGAGGAAGACCAGCCUGUCUAGUAAGUGCACAGGAUAGGAGGGGACCUGAACUCCUUCCCCAGAUCCUUCUCCGCAGCCUCCUGCCCUGAGAGAAUCUGGGACCUGGACCUGUGCCUACCUCUGUUGCAGUGGGGACAGGGAGGGGAGAGGCUUGCUGUGGUCUAAGGCUGGCAGCUCCGUGGGUUAAGGCUAGAGAGCCAGCUGUAGGCUUUGUAAUGUGCUGGGGUAGUGAUGGUCUGCAGACUGGCAUUUGGUAAGCGCCCUGGGGCAGCACAGGUGUGGCCGGUGGGUGUCAUUCACUGCUGCUGCCUGACCUCUGGAGCCCAGGAGCUGUCUGCCAGGGGGCUGGGGCGCAAGUCUGCUUAGGCCAGGUGGACCUGUCGGGUCGAGGAGGCCUGGCUGCCACCCCUCUUCUUCUCAUACCUUUUCCUUCUUGGACCUCAUCCUCCUAGGGACCCCUUUACACUGCUACCCAGGUCUGGGUGGGCAGUGGUUAUUGGUACUGGGGUGUGCUGUCCCCUCCAGAAAGAAGGCAUGGCAGUUAUCUCACAGCACAGGCCUGGGUACAGACAGGGCUGCACUUCGGAGACUUGGCUGACUCUUGAGGAAGAGGAAGCAGUAUCUGAAAUACUGCAGCAGCCCCCAGGGCUGGAGGAGCCCACAGGCGGCCAGUAUGUAUCUCUGGGACCAGCUGGGCCCAAGCUGCAAAGCCCAAGUGGGGUCUGGGCAAGGGAAGGGGGAGAAGCAGGGACUCUGGAGUGGGGGAUAGUAUGGUCAGGAAGUAGAAGAUGUUUACUGAGCAUUCAGUGUGUGAGCGUAGCAUCUCACUGAGUCCAUGCCUCCCCCUGAGGACAGUUCUGUUAGCAUCCCGAGGGCAGAUGAGAACCUGAGAUUAGGACUGUUUCAAAACUUUCCCUGAGUCACACAGCUGCUGAGAGCCAGUGAGAUCACAGCCCUGGCCAUGUGGCUUCAGGGCACAUCCUCUUGACCGGACAGCAGCGUCUUGUCAAGCUGUUUCCCAAACCUGCCUAGGCCCAGGCUCUGGUCAGACCCUUCUACACGCUCUGUGGGUUGUGGUUCCCAAGCUAGUGGGGACCAUGUGCUCUGCUCCCCAGUGGACACCCUUGAGGCCCCCCACUUCCCACCCUGCAACUGGAGUACUAAUGUGCAGUCACUACAAUAGCCAUGGCGGGUCCUUGUCGCCUAGUGAGUGCUGCCGGGUGCUUUGAGCCUGGUGCCUUACUGACUUCCUCAUAGGGCUGUGAGUUUAGACGGAGCGUCUGCAUGCAGAUGGGGAAGCUGGGGUUCAGCAUCAGAGCCACCAAGUGGUGGAGGUGGGACUCAAAUAGGGCUGUGGGACCCCAGAGUCAGGGCUCCUGACCACUACCUGUCAUGACUCACCACGCCCCAGAGACACUGUCUUUGAGGCCCUGAACAAGAACUUAGGCCCCCAUCCCUGAGCCAAGCCCAGGUCCAUGGGGCUGCUGGGACAAUGUCACUCCCGCAUCUUCCUCAGGCAACACCCCUUCCUGCUAUACCCGGGGACCAUGCUGGGGCGUGGCUUCCUGCAGGUGGCAGCUGACAUGUGAACACAUUAGGUCCCAGGGAGGGCAGCUGAGCAUGUGAACACCAGGAAUGGGAUGUGGGAGGUCACGGGGCUCCUGUACCAGGUCUGUGCUUGGCCUAUGUCCAGACACCGAAAGCUGCUCACAGCCCUGUGUGUGAAUGACACCCUUGAGCAUUCAUAGUUCAACUAACGCUGAGCCCUGAGUCAUCUCAGAACCUUUCGUAUGUCAUACCCUGGAGAUGGUUCCCAGAAAAGACGUUGCUGAUUGCACAAGAGAGUGGAAGGAGGCAGAAGGAGCAGCCUGUGUGGGGCAUGGAGGGAAGACCCACAUGGGCAUGGGAUGGCUGGGAGAGGACAGCUGGCAGUCUGCGGGUCCCAGAAGGGCAAGCUGAAGUGCUGAGACACACCCACUGGCCUGACCCUCCCUGGUUUGUGGCUGCUGGAGGAGGGACAAGGGCUCCCUGCACUGCCUGUACCAGGGGGCAGGAGCUCAGCCAAGUCCAGGUCCUGGCUCAUCUUCCCCUUCUGUGAAAUGGGGGUAUGGACUCCAUGGGAGCCAGCCUGGUGAGAGCUAUGGAAGUGCAGACCUGCCUAAAGAGUAGGGUUUCACCCCACUCCAACAUCCAGAGGGCAGUCCUGGUAGGGGCCCAGGGGGAGAGAAGUCAGCAGGCCAGCAGGGUGCCAAGGGCGGGG